rnacentral:rRNA from 1 species
GAUGAACGCUAGCUACAGGCUUAACACAUGCAAGUCGAGGGGUAACGAGAGGAAAGCUUGCCUUCCUUGUUGACGACCGGCGCACGGGUGAGUAACGCGUAUCCAACCUGCCCCCAACUAGGGAAUAACCUUGCGAAAGUAAGACUAAUACCCUAUAAUUUCCUCAGAUGUCAUCUGACGAGGAAUAAAGAUUUAUCGGCUGUGGAUGGGGAUGCGUCUGAUUAGCUUGUUGGCGGGGUAACGGCCCACCAAGGCAACGAUCAGUAGGGGUUCUGGGAGGAAGGUCCCCCACAUUGGAACUGAGACACGGUCCAAACUCCUACGGGAGGCAGCAGUGAGGAAUAUUGGUCAAUGGGCGGAAGCCUGAACCAGCCAAGUAGCGUGCAGGAUGACGGCCCUAUGGGUUGUAAACCGCUUUUAUACAGGAAUAAAGUUAGCCACGUGUGGUUAUUUGUAGGUACUGUAUGAAUAAGGACCGGCUAAUUCCGUGCCAGCAGCCGCCGUAA